GACGAACGCUGGCGGCGUGCUUAACACAUGCAAGUCGAACGACGUGGCGAACGGGUGAGUAAUACGUGGGUAACCUGCCCUCCUUUUUGGGAUAAGCCUCGGUAACGGGGUCUACUUCCACAUACAGGGUGAUGGGCUCCCGGCCUAUCAGCUUGUUGGUGGGGUGAUGGCGUAGCAAGGCGGUGACGGGUAGCCGGCCCGAGGGGGGGACCGGCCACAUUGGGACUGGGAUACGGCCGAGAAGAGUACGGGGGGGAGAAGUGGGGAAUAUUGGACAAUGGGCGAAAGCCUGAUGCAGCGACGCCGCAGGGGGGAUGAAGGCUGUCGGGUUGUAAACCUCUUGCGCGAGCGAACGGGUAGGUGGAGAAGAAGCGCCGGCUAACUACGUGCUAGCAGCCGCGGUAAUAC
rnacentral:rRNA from 1 species